rnacentral:misc_RNA from 1 species
GGAAAUUUGAAGCAUAUCUACGUGGACAAAAAUAGCUCAGGGUUUGUGUAUUUGCGAUUUGAGAUUACACAAUCUGCUAUAAAUGCACAACGUGCACUUCACGGAAGAUGGUUUGCAGGCAAGAUGAUCACUGCAACAUUCAUGGUGCCCCAGACGUACGAGGCUAAAUUCCCGGAUAGCAGAUAGGGGUAAGACUUUGCAUGUCCAAAAAAUCUUGUCUAUGUUAAUUCUGGCAUCAUUGUAUUGCAAGGAUGUGAUGUUUACAUUGGAUGAAGUAGGAUUGCCAUUUUGAUACAAAGUAGAAGUAGUCAGCUUAUGUUGUGUUCUCAUUUGUAAUUUUGUUUACUGAAGUGGGAUGUGUCGGAACAUAAAUUGUGAAAUUGUGAUCGACUUUUCAUGUGGAUUAUUUAGGAGGUACUCUAAAA